rnacentral:tRNA from 1 species
GGGGUUGUGGCUCAGUGGUGGAAUGCUUGCCUAGCAUGUAUGAGGCACUGGGUUCAAUUCUCAGCACCCCA